CCUACGGGAGGCAGCAGUGAGGAAUAUUGGUCAAUGGACGAGAGUCUGAACCAGCCAAGUCGCGUGAAGGAUGACUGCCCUAUGGGUUGUAAACUUCUUUUAUAUGGGAAUAAAACGUUCCACGUGUGGGAUUUUGUAUGUACCAUAUGAAUAAGGAUCGGCUAACUCCGUGCCAGCAGCCGCGGUAAUACGGAGGAUCCGAGCGUUAUCCGGAUUUAUUGGGUUUAAAGGGAGCGUAGGUGGAUUGUUAAGUCAGUUGUGAAAGUCUGCGGCUCAACCGUAAAAUUGCAGUUGAAACUGGCAGUCUUGAGUACAGUAGAGGUGGGCGGAAUGCGUGGUGUAGCGGUGAAAUGCUUAGAUAUCACGAAGAACUCCGAUUGCGAAGGCAGUUCACUGGACUGCAACUGACACUGAGGCUCGAAAGUGUGGGUAUCAAACAGGAUUAGAUACCCGGGUAGUC
rnacentral:rRNA from 1 species